rnacentral:siRNA from 1 species
UGCUUUAGUAUCGCGCGUGAUUC